GUUAAAAGCCAGUCAGUUCUUAUACAAAACAUUUAAAUUUGUGUUUAAAAUGCAUGAAUAUAUGAAUGCAAAAACUUAAUUUUAUACGUAGUUAUUUAGACAUAAGUUUAAAUAUUUGGAUAUGUGUUACAUUUCUAUAUAUCGUAAAAUCAUAAAAAUUCACACACGGACUGAAUUUUCAAUGACAUAUAAUUCACUGGUGUUAUUCUUCUUAUAAUCAUUUUUGUGCAUGGUUUAGUUCGGAAUGGUUUGUGAUGCAGGAUUUUACCUUGAUAUUGUAUCAACUUUUCUUCUUAAUAUGUAUGAAAUCUGUCAUAGUUCAAAAGUCGGCGUUUCGGAUGAGCAGAAAAGUAAAAGACGUCACAAGAUUGAAACUAAACUUCUAUUUGUUCGAAUAGCAGUUGGAUUUACAGCUAAUAUUGUUGGAUUUAUAUUGGUUUGCGCCCUUAACCAAGACACUUACAUAUCAGGAUCUACAGCUACAGGAUUAUUCUCUACGAUUAUUGUAUAUACCAUCUUACUCUAUACUUUAGUAACUUUAUUUCUCCUAUGGAGUAUAUAUUAUGAACAUGAUGGAUUUACACUAACCAAACAAAAAAACAACAUAAUGACUGCUUACAGGGUUUUUGAAAUUGUGUUUGACAUUUUUAUUUUUUUCUAUAGCCUAGUUGUUUCAAAAUGGGAAAUGACCGACUUUACAAUAGCUACAACGGUAAUUGCUUGCUUUGAUAUUAUUCUCAACACAACUCUGUGUUACAAACAUUGCUAUUGUUCUGACGACGAUGACUAAAAAACUAUUUGGUAAGAAAAAAAAACAUAUUGCAUCAUUGUUAAAACCAUCCUUUUCCGAAAUAUAUUUUCAUCUUUCGAAAAACCUCAUUGAAUGGCGUUCUCUCAGCGAAAUGGCGAUCGCGGUUCCUAAGAUAAUUCGAUCCAAUAGGCAAUGGAACAAGAGCAUAGAAAUGUUUGACUCUCCUGACAUAUUUUUACUUUUUAAAAACGUUACUAUAAAUUGCUAUACAUAUUAUAAUAACGAUAAAGAGGUAACAAGACAAUAAAUGAGAUAAUGUGAUUACAUCUGUUUGACUCACAACUUGGUAUCAAUCGGUUGAUAAAUCUACAUGAAAGAAAAUCACCAAGACGUGAAAGAUCAACUAGUAUGAUGAUUAUGUACAAAUUUUCUUCUGAGGGCAAAAUUAUAUUUGGAAUAAUUCAGUCCCGGUUGUUUGUUUAUCAAAAUUUAUCAGUCUACUGUAAAGCAAUGUGAAGUCUAUUUUAUUAAACAAAAAACAGUUCUGAUCUUUUUAGUGUUUGGAAAUUACACAGGAAUUUCGUAGUAUAGUGCAGUCAAUUUUUGAAAAACCAUAUUCAUCAUCUUAUUCGUCCUUUCAAGAUAGCAUAUACUUAACAUCAUUGGCAAAAUGUAUAUCUCCACAUAGAAUUCAUCUGUUAUUGUGUAAGGAAAGUGUUUCACAUGCUAGAUAUCAUGCAAAGUUGAUCGCAAGAUUUAUAGAAUAUAUUUGGAUCUAUUUGCACCAAUGAAUAACACUCCCGGAGACAAAAUUUCUAAAUGACAAUAUGUCUUUUGAAACCUAUAUAAAACAUUUUUUUUCAGUAAAGGAGUUAGCUAUUUUCAAUGAAUGAUGUUCUUUUAGUUUUUAGCACUAUUUAUCGUAGAGUAUACAAACAUUAUUUUUUGUUUGAACAAGGUUGUUAUGAAUAAAUUAAAAUAUCACAUUUAGAAGAAGAACAUCUCAAACCAGUCGAUUAGUCAUAUCAUAUUUUUUAUGAAAUGUACCAUUAUCUUAGAUAUAUAUCGUAGAAUGUACUCUAGGUUGAAGUAGAUUGAUUGUUAAGAAGACGGAUUAACACUUGUCUAUGGACACUUGUCUAUUGUUGGAAAUAUUGUUUUUUUUCUGUUUUCUUGUGUUUAUAGUUGCAGUUUCAUUGACGUAUAACUCAAAUUUAUGUUUAUUCAUAACUCUUUGUCGGGUAGUUAAAUCAUAAAAAAGGGUAAAACAGAUACAUAGAGAAAACAAAUAGGACUAGUUUGGUUCAAUAUUUUCCAAACAUUAUGAUAGAUGAAAGGUUUAAGGAUAACGCCCCUAAAUUGUGUGGUAUUUUGGCAUACCAAAAAAAAGGUAAUUAUAGACAUUUUAAACGUUUGAAUAACUCUAUUGAACAAAAAGAAAUCAAUUUUCACCUUUCUAAAAAUGUAUCACAAAUUAAAGUCAGCUUUUGCUUUUG